GUCUUUUUGUUUUUAUUUAAGGUCAGACCUGCCCAAUGAAUUUUAAAUGGCCGCAGUAUUUUAGCUGUGCAAAGGUAGCAUAAUAAUUUGUUUUUUAAUUGAAAACUGGUAUGAAUGGUCAAACGAGGGGUUAACUUUCUUUAUCUUAUUUAAAGUAAAUUUAUUUUUCUGUGAAAAAGCAGAGAUAUUAUUAGAAGACGAUAAGACCCUUUAAAUGGCUUUAUAAGUAUAAAUAUAUAGGUGUUUAUUUUUUACUUUUUUAUCAAAUUUUAUUGGGGCGAUAGGUAAAUAUAUAUAACUUUAUUUUAUUAUUUUCAUUGAUUAAUGUUUUGAUGAUCCAGUUUAUUCUGAUUAUAAGUUUAAGUUACUUAAGGGAUAACAGCGUAAUCUUGUUGGAGAGUUCUUAUUGAUGGCAACGUUUGCGACCUCCAUGUUGGAUUAAAAUUAAUAUUGGGUGUAGCCGCUUAAUAAUUAGGGCUGNUCGACCUUCAAUUAUUUACAACUUUAUU
rnacentral:rRNA from 1 species